GUAAAUGCACCCUACUACAAUCAGUUUAUAAUGAUCAACUCUGGUCCAUGCCAUGCCGUUAUUUACUGGAAUGUAAAUUACGUUGGAGAGAAUGACAAGGAAAUCAACUUUGACGUUUGCCAUCAGAUGUUUGGACUCCCAAGGACGUAGAGCACUGUCGCUAUUUUGCAGCUCAGCUGUAGUUCCUGGCAUCACAGACACUUAGCGUACUGUUACUAUACAAGGAACCCAUUCCCUACAUUAGGACUAAAGGAAUCUCUGCUUCCAAUAAAAAGAAGUUCGGUUGAAAAUAUUACUCUUUACCUUGCUGGCUGCCAGCAACACAAUGAGGAAUGGAAAACACACAGGGUUCUUGCUUUUCUACGUCCUCUACCUUUAAAGCU
rnacentral:sRNA from 1 species